CCGACUGCCACCCUUCUCAGAAGCAAAGUGCCAGGCUUGAUUCCUGCAUCCGCUGCACCUCGGGGUGUGCAUGCCAAGAGAUCAUGGUGCUCCGGUGUUGGGGGUUCAGAGUCUUUGAAGGCACACCCUUAGGAUGACUAGAUAGCACUAGUUACCCCGGGGCCUGUCACCUCCUGACUCUCACAGCUUCCCAUGUGGCCGGGUUCCCCAGAGGGUUCUGGGUCGGCCUGUCAUGUCCUCCCUGUCAUGACUCCUGGAGAGCGUGUCAGAGCAUUUUGUUUCUCUCCCAUCUUGCUUAACCUCGUCUCACUGAUCUUUCUCAAGCAGUGGUUUUAAAAAUAAAGGACCGCCUCCUCUUGCUUGAAAUUCCCUUCUCCUGAAACAUCUCUGCCAUCAAUAGGGCCGGCCUCCGGGACGCCCUAGCGCUGCUACAGGCUGCUGGCAAUAACGUUGCUCUCUGCGCUGGGAAGAGGUCUGCCGCUGCUCCUGCCCCUUCACAUUCCUGUCCUGGUGUUGGGGGGUGCCUAGGCCGGGUUUGGAGGGGCCUGUAGGAGUUAAGCUGCCCCAUUUGGACUUGCUUCCUGGGUCAGUCUACCCUUUAUGUAUCCUGGAGGAGGGGCGUCUGAUGGAGGCGGGGAUGGAUCCAGAACCGAGGCUGGAGGAAGCGUCAGCUUGCAGGCAGCAGCAUCCAGCAGAAUAUCUGCUUCAGCAAGAGCGAAGAACAGGAUACAUGUGACCUAGAAAUACAGUGUGCAGGAUGCUGUGAAUGUGGCCAGAACAUCAUUCAUUCAUUCAACAACGCAUUCCUUCAUCCAUUCAAUAAGAAUUUACAGAGCUCUUCCACAACUCCAGGGACUAGGAAGAAUGAGGUACUAUGUGUAGUAGUUAAGGUGCUUUUCAAGUCAGGACUGGAGCAGAACAGUCUUAAAAUCAUACAGCAUCCCCAGCAGGGAGCUGGGCAGCACUUGCUGUUGUCGUUCAGUCACUAAGUUGUGUCUGACUCUUUGUGACUAUGGAGUGCAGCAUGCCAGGCUCCUCUGACCUCCAGUAUCUCCUGGAGUUUGCUCAAGUUCAUGUCCACUGAGUUGGUGAUGCUAUCUAAACAUCUCAUCCUCUGCCACCCCCUUUUCCUUUUG
rnacentral:lncRNA from 1 species